GGCUCCUGGUACAUCCAGUCACUGUGCAGGCAUCUCAGGAGAUGCUGUCCAAGAGGUGAAGAUAUUCUUUCCAUCCUCACAAGUGUCAAUGAAGAAGUAAGCACGAACACUGGCUCCAUCAAAGGGAAUGAAGCCAAGCAAAUACCAGAGCCCAGGUACACUCUCAGGAAGAAGCUUGUAUUCUACGUGAAAUGUGAACAAGGUAUUCUGACUGUACCUGGCAGUAUUCCUGAUGGAACUGUGUGGAAUAUACUGUAGGCCACUAUAAUACAGUAUGCCUAAUAUUCCUCCUUUGAUUUUGGAUUGGUAUCUGACCACUAGCUAAUGGAAUUGUCCUACUGUACAUGCAAUAUUUUUCUACCAUUUGUAAUUUACAUUAUGCCACUACUGUAUUGUCCAACAAAAAAUCCAGACAUUUUAUUGUGAUACUUCAGUGACUGGUGAACCAGAAAUGCUUAUUUACAUCUUGCCUACACUGAAUUUUAUAAAGCAACAUUUGGGUGCAAAAGAGAGAUUCUAAUUCUUUUCUUAAACUGGAUGUGUUAAAGGGGCAGAUUUUGAAGAACGAUGUCCAGAUUUUAAAACCAGCUGUGUGUGACGCAUACAGGGGAUAGUAUUUUAAAACAAAAACAGAUGGGGUGGAUGGCUCUAACUUCAUAAAACACUUGUAUUAUGUAUUUGAAUUUAGUCAAAUCCAAAUGCUGAGAUGUUUUCAUUUUUGCAUUUUGCAUCCAAAUGUUUUGCAUUGAAGUGUAACCAUGAGACAAAUUUAUGAGGCAAAAUUCUUCAAACAAAAACUUUAGAAACUUUGAGGAAAUGUUAAUGUCAAAUAAAGAGUAGAGGUUUCCAGACAUCUUGUGUAUAUUAAUGUUCUGGUUUGUAUCAAUUGGAACAACCAGUUAAUUAAAUGGUAAAAAUAAAAUUGCCUACUGUGAGUGCUAAACAUUUGUCUUGUGAAUGGAAUACUUCAUUACAAUAAUUUAAGACACGAGUGGAAAAAGCUUAUAUAUGCAAAAUUUUUAGGACAAUUAUUAAAAUACUCUGAUACUGGAAUACACAUUGUAUGUGGGGAAAACAAUUUGUAUAUAAAUGGCAUAAUGUAUACAUUUAAGCUGCUGUUUGCAGUAAUCUUUGAUGAACCACCUGAUAUUAACAUAUAAACAACAUCAUCAAGAUGUUUCCUUUGUUGUGUAGCACCAUGAUGAUGUUGUUUUUUGUUUCAAUUGGCUUAGUACCUCAGGUUUUUUAUAUGAAAUCUAAUUGCUGUAUACAUUUUCAUCCUCACACAUUACCUCAAAGUAGCUGUAUGUAUUACUUGUCAAAAUUAUACAACUGUUCUUCCACUGAAAUGUUAGUUACAUCCAAAAUAAACAAUGCUAAUUUUCUGUG